rnacentral:rRNA from 1 species
AUUGAACGCUGGCGGUAUGCUUUACACAUUCAAGUCGAACGGUAGAGGGGCAACUCUUGAGAGUGGCGAACGGGUGAGUAAUACAUCGGAACGUGCCCAGUCGUGGGGGAUAACGUAGCGAAAGCUACGCUAAUACCGCAUACGACCUGAGGGUGAAAGCGGGGGACCUGCAAGGGCCCCGCGUCAUUGGAGCGGCCGAUGGCAGAUUAGGUAGUUGGUGAGGUAAAGGCUCACCAAGCCGACGAUCUGUAGCUGGUCUGAGAGGACGACCAGCCACACUGGGACUGAGACACGGCCCAGACUCCUACGGGAGGCAGCAGUGGGGAAUUUUGGACAAUGGGCGCAAGCCUGAUCCAGCCAUACCGCGUGCAGGAAGAAGGCCUUCGGGUUGUAAACUGCUUUUGUCAGGGAAGAAAUCUUCUGGGCUAAUACCCUGGGAGGAUGACGGUACCUGAAGAAUAAGCACCGGCUAACUACGUGCCAGCCGCCGCGGUAACAC